rnacentral:rRNA from 1 species
UACGUAGGCAGCGAGCGUUGUUCGGAGUUACUGGGCGUAAGGGGUGUGUAGGCGGUUGUUUAAGUUUGGGGUGAAAUCUCCCGGCUCAACUGGGAGGGUGCGCCGAAUACUGAAUGACUUGGAGUGCGGGAGAGGUGAGUGGAAUUCCUGGUGUAGCGGUGAAAUGCGUAGAUAUCAGGAGGAACACCGGUGGUGUAGACGGCUCACUGGACCGUAACUGACGCUGAGACACGAAAGCGUGGGUAGCAAACAGG